rnacentral:rRNA from 1 species
UGCAGUCGAGGGGCAUCGGGAUUGAAGCUUGCUUCAAUUGCCGGCGACCGGCGCACGGGUGCGUAACGCGUAUGUAACCUACCUAUAACAGGGGCAUAACACUGAGAAAUUGGUACUAAUUCCCCAUAAUAUUCGGAGAGGCAUCUCUCCGGGUUGAAAACUCCGGUGGUUAUAGAUGGACAUGCGUUGUAUUAGCUAGUUGGUGAGGUAACGGCUCACCAAGGCAACGAUACAUAGGGGGACUGAGAGGUUAACCCCCCACACUGGUACUGAGACACGGACCAGACUCCUACGGGAGGCAGCAGUGAGGAAUAUUGGUCAAUGGACGCAAGUCUGAACCAGCCAUGCCGCGUGCAGGAAGACGGCUCUAUGAGUUGUAAACUGCUUUUGUACGAGGGUAAACUCACCUACGUGUAGGUGACUGAAAGUAUCGUACGAAUAAGGAUCGGCUAACUCCGUGCCAGCAGCCGCGGUAAUACGGAGGAUUCAAGCGUUAUCCGGAUUUAUUGGGUUUAAAGGGUGCGUAGGCGGUUUGAUAAGUUAGAGGUGAAAUCCCGGGGCUUAACUCCGGAACUGCCUCUAAUACUGUUAGACUAGAGAGUAGUUGCGGUAGGCGGAAUGUAUGGUGUAGCGGUGAAAUGCUUAGAGAUCAUACAGAACACCGAUUGCGAA